AGGGGGUUAGUUCAGUUGGUAGAACGGCGGUCUCCAAAACCGCGAGUCGGGGGUUCGAGUCCCUCACCCCCUGCCA
rnacentral:tRNA from 1 species